UCUUCUUUUCGUAAUUGUAAUACUUACACUGUAUAAGCUUUUUUCGAACUAAACUAGCCUUUAGUUAUGAGCUCGGUUCUCAGCUAAUUGUCUGAGCUUAUGAGAAGUCCGAUCACAUACCUUUUAAUGGUACUUAGCUGGGCUUCCUUUUUAGUUCUGACUUGUCAGGAAAUGAAGCUGAGGUCCUUUCUUCCCAAGUUGCCCCUUUG
rnacentral:lncRNA from 1 species